rnacentral:rRNA from 1 species
CUUUCUCUGCUGACGAGUGGCGGACGGGUGAGUAAAGCUUGGGAAUCUGGCGAAUGGAGGGGGAUAGCCACGGGAAACUGUGGGUAAUACCGCGUAAGGUCUAAGGACUAAAGGGGUGGGACUGAGAGGCCACCUGCCAUUUGAUGAGCCCAAGUGGGAUUAGGUAGUUGGUGAGGUAAGGGCUCACCAAGCUGACGAUCUCUAGCUGGUCUGAGAGGAUGGCCAGCACACUGGAACUGAGACACGGUCCAGACUCCUACGGGAGGCAGCAGUGGGGAAUAUUGCGCAAUGGGGGGAACCCUGACGCAGCCAUGCCGCGUGAAUGAAGAAGGCCUUCGGGUUGUAAAGUUCUUUCGGUGAUGAGGAAGGCGAUUAGUUUAAGAGAUUAAUUGAUUGACGAUAAUCACAGAAGAAGCACCGGCUAACUCCGUGCCAGCAGCCGCGGUAAUACGGAGGGUGCGAGCGUUAAUCGGAAUGACUGGGCGUAAAGGGCACGCAGGUGGUGACUUAAGUGAGGUGUGAAAACCCGGGCUUAACCUGGGAACAGCAUUUCAGACUGGGUGACUAGAGUACUUUAGGGAGGGGUAGAAUUCCACGUGUAGCGGUGAAAUGCGUAGAGAUGUGGAGGAAUACCGAAGGCGAAGGCAGCCCCUUGGGAAGAUACUGACGCUCGAGUGCGAAAGCGUGGGGAGCAAACAGGAUUAGAUACCCUGGUAGUCCACGCUGUAAACGAUGUCGAUUUGGGGAUUGGGUGAAUACUUGGUGCCCGAAGCUAACG